CCAGCCAAGUUAAUGGCAAAUGGGAGCAACAGUUCCUGCAUCUCUUCCUGCCUUAGUCCAUGAUUAAAGAGUAUUUGGAAUGGCAAUCAUAUGAACAAUUUUCACAUAUCAACAAAGUUGGUAGGCAGACUUGUGUAAACCUCAAUUCUUCCUUCAUCUACCCUGUUAUCCAGACUUCAGCAGUUUCUCCUGCAAUGGGAAUUACCUUUCUGUGAUGUGAUUCAAUGGGUCAAGACUGACUAAGAGUGCUCCCACAGAGGCAUUUAUUGUGCAAUCUAUUGUGCUUCACCGGCAGAAUUACGUGCAGGCACAGAGAUUUUCCCUUCUAACUCUCCCAUAUUUUUCCACCACUUCUUCCAUCGACCCACUUCUCUUCAGGAAACCCAUUAAAAAGGAAAAGAGGGAACAGCUGCAUUAAAGUCUGUUGAUGGACAUAGAAACCAUCCUUCUGGAUGCCUCUUGGGAAGAACUUCCAUAGAAAGUUUCCAAGGUUCCUGUUGGUGGAAAUAUUCAGGACCAAUGGGCUACAACUCUCAGUUUCAUUACAUCAGAGGAUGGCAUCAAAGCCAGAAGGAAACCCUGAAGUGUUCUGGAUGAAUACUGGAUUUGUAGCAGCCUCAAGAAAUUGUAAGACCGAGAAAGUAUUGAACUUCGCUGUUUCUGUUGGUACUUUGGGAAA